AGGGGAAAAUGCACCAAAAAGAAAGCGUUCCUCGGGGAAAGUACAAGUGUCACAUCUGUUUCACUAAUGCAUCCUCUCCUAUCAAUAGAUAAACAAGUCAAUAAAUUAUCCUGCCAUCUAUGAGUCCGUAAACACUUGGUAGAACAUCAUACAUCUCUUGCACAUCAAUAUAUAUUAUCAAAAUAAUUACACAGUUCCGAUCAGAAACAGAAACAAGCCGGUUUGAUCUUGCUUUGAUGCUGCUGCUUGAUCUUCUCUUCUUCGUGCAGUUGUGUGUCUGUGCCGCUGGCGGGCAGCAGUGAGUCUGUAGAGGCGCUUGCAUACCUGUCUCAGGUUCAUUCUGGGCGGAGAGCAUCUCUGGGUCUCGUUCGAGGUGGAGCCCGACGCAGAAACGAGCCUGAAGCGCUUUAAGAGGCGACGGACGCUGCCGUGCGCGCUAAUGAUCCGAUUCACUGCGAUGAUCUGAACUCAGUCCAGAUUUCUGCUCGGACCCCGACGCGCGAGAGUCUCGGGGCGGAUCGUGCUGAAGAAUCUCCCGGGUUUGAGUCGAGCUGAAGCGCAGAAGCGCAGACGCGUCUCCGUCUCCUCGCAGAGCUCCUCAGGAGGAAGACAACAUCAUCAUCAACAUGGGCCAGAGAGGAGGACAGAGACGAUCACAGCUCCUGCCUCUUCUGCUGGUAAGUCCCUCACGCAGCCAAGACCACAGCCCGUCCAAACACGAGCGACGUCGACUACAAAGGUGUCUUUGAGCACAUGUUAGUCUGUCUCUGAACGCGUCUCCCACCUCCUUCAUGUGUGCAACACCGAAUCUGUCUGGCUGCGUUCCCAGAGCGUAAUUUCUCUGCGCAGCGUCUUUAAUGAUAGGCUUUUAAUGCCCUUCCCAAGAGCCGUGAGUCCAAACGUGAGCCAAAAUCCCAUUUAUUACUGCUAAAUCAGCCCUCAGUGUCAAUUGAGCCUUUGUCCAAGAGAAAACUGCUGCCACUCGAUAACAGGAGCAUUAUUCUCCAUAGAGUGAGAAAAGAAAAGGCUGCAAAUGUGCUGCUUGACUGCCAAGAUAUCGGAGAACCACUUACAAAACACCAUAAUCUCACAUCUCAUGAUCUAGAACCAAUUCAAGUCAACUUCAGACACAAUCAGACUGAUAUUUAGUGGUGCAUCUAGUGUGCUCCAUAGUUUGACUGACUUUUGAACAUUACAUAAAUUCAUGAUUCUGAGUUCAAAAAUAUCACUAAAGCGUCUCAUCGUGUACAGCUUUUUAUUCCACAAAAUAAGUUCAACUAUAUUUGUGUAUCAGAUUUAAUGCAUUUAUGAAAAUAACAAAA
ensembl:lncRNA